rnacentral:rRNA from 1 species
AUUGAACGCUGGCGGCAUGCUUUACACAUGCAAGUCGAACGGCAGCGCGGGCUUCGGCCUGGCGGCGAGUGGCGAACGGGUGAGUAAUACAUCGGAACGUGCCCAGUAGUGGGGGAUAGCUCGGCGAAAGCCGGAUUAAUACCGCAUACGACCUGAGGGUGAAAGCGGGGGAUCUUCGGACCUCGCGCUAUUGGAGCGGCCGAUGGCAGAUUAGCUAGUUGGUGGGGUAAAGGCCUACCAAGGCGACGAUCUGUAGCUGGUCUGAGAGGACGACCAGCCACACUGGGACUGAGACACGGCCCAGACUCCUACGGGAGGCAGCAGUGGGGAAUUUUGGACAAAGGGCGAAAGCCUGACCCAGCAAUGCCGCGUGUGUGAUGAAGGCCUUCGGGUUGUAAAGCACUUUUGGCGGGAACGAAAAGGACUGUGCCAAUACCACGGUUCGAUGACGGUACCCGCAGAAUAAGCACCGGCUAACUACGUG